UCAUUUCUCUGCACUUUCUAUCCUAAGAAACAACUUUUGGUUCAUGGAAAAGUUUUCUGUCUCUUUUCUUUUGGGGUUUUUUUUUUUCCAGAUUGAUCUUUUUUGUUGUUUCUGUAUUUCUUUUUUUUUGGCUGAAGAUUAUCUAUUUUCGUCCUCUUUUGAAGAUCCCGGACUUAACAACACUCAGGCUACAUAGCCCACACAUGCUCGCUCUGCUGGACGGACGCACCAUUUUGUCUACAGGUUCCCAGCAUUGACUCUGUCUGACAUCAGCAGUCAUGUGGUAGCAAAGGAGCAGGUGGGUUAUAUGACAGUGAGUGUGGAGUAAUAUGUUCAAUAAUAAUAAUAACAAGAAGAAGAAGAAGAAGAAGAAGAAGAAGAAGAAGAAGAAGAAGAAGAAGAAGAAGAAGAAGAAGAGGAACUGACACUGUUCUGAUGAAGGCUCUCUGUUCUCAACAACACUUAAGGGAUUUAUUCCUUUUUAAAUGUCACUAUUUCAACUGCAAGAUUAUUUCAAAAUUCAUACAUUUUAUUCAUAUGGUGUAAUAAUAUUAGUACACAUGAGCAACUCUCUCAAAUAUGUGAUGUCAUCAAGUAUAAAGUCUGGCUCAGAGACAAUGAAUGAGGAAAGAUGUUAGAGAUGAUACUAACAGCACCCAUGGGAAUGUUCUGAAUACAUGUAUGUAUGUAUUUUCUGUUUCAGAGGUGAUAACUCUACAACAAUAAAGAACAUUUGGGUAUGAAAAUAGCAAAAAACACAUUCUGUGUGUCCACAAAAGUCUUCCAUUCAUUGUCUAUGGAGCAUCUCCAGAAUCUAUAUUACUCACAGGUUGGAUAAAAUAAUGACUAAGCUGUCCGAGGCCGAUGUUUGAAUUCUUAAUGUAGGUGGUGUUCCUCUUCAAGAAAUGUAAAAACACAUUGUUUUAGCAGGAGACCUAUUAGGUCUGAGCUGUACUCCAGUGGAAGUACAGUGGUGAGCAUUGCUGCUGAUGCACUUAUCGACAAGGAACUCAAGGUCGAGUGCAACGCCGCCUCAUAAAAAUUACACGAGUAGUAAAAGGGCAAAGGGCUAUGGGUUAGGUGCCUGUAGCAGUUUCCUUUGACCACAAAAUGUUCUUGUAGGAGGAAAGUGCGGAAAGAAAAAGGAUGAGUAAAGGAGAAAUGCACGUUUUUAAAGUGCAUUUAGAAUUAGUACAUAGAGUUACUGUUGAAUUAAUCAUUUGAAAAGGAAAAAAGGAAAAAC
rnacentral:lncRNA from 1 species